CCAUGCAUGUCUAAGUAUAAGCACUUUAUACUGUGAAACUGCGAAUGGCUCAUUAAAUCAGUUAUAAUUUAUUUGAUAAUACCUUACUACUUGGAUAACCGUGGUAAUUCUAGUGCUAAUACAUGCGUCAAGCCCCGACUUCUGGAAGGGGUGUAUUUAUUAGAUAAAAAACCAAUCGGGCAACCGUUUUCUGGUGAAUCAUGAUAACUAUUCGAAUCGCAUGACUCUGUCGGCGAUGGUUCAUUCAAAUUUCUGCCCUAUCAACUUUCGAUGGUAGUAUAGAGGACUACCAUGGUUAUAACGGGUAACGGAGAAUUAGGGUUCGAUUCCGGAGAGGGAGCCUGAGAAACGGCUACCACAUCCAAGGAAGGCAGCAGGCGCGCAAAUUACCCAAUCCCGAUACGGGGAGGUAGUGACAAUAAAUAACAAUCCAGAGCUUUAUGUUUUGGAAUUGUAAUGAGUACAAUUUAAACCUCUUAACGAGAACCAAUUGGAGGGCAAGUCUGGUGCCAGCAGCCGCGGUAAUUCCAGCUCCAAUAGCGUAUAUUAAAGUUGUUGCAGUUAAAAAGCUCGUAGUUGAACCUCGGACCUGGCUGGGGGGUCUCUCCGGAGUACUCCUUGGCCUGGUCUUUCCUUCUGGCGAGCCGCGGUGCUAUUCAUUUAGUGCCGCGGGGAACCAGGACUUUUACUUUGAAAAAAUUAGAGUGUUUAAAGCAGGCUUACGCUUGAAUACAUUAGCAUGGAAUAAUAAAAUAGGACUUUGGUUUUAUUUUGUUGGUUUUCGAAACCGAAGUAAUGAUUAAUAGGGAUAGUUGGGGGCAUUCGUAUUUAGCCGUCAGAGGUGAAAUUCUUGGAUUGGCUAAAGACGAACUUCUGCGAAAGCAUUUGCCAAGGAUGUUUUCAUUAAUCAAGAACGAAAGUUAGGGGAUCGAAGACGAUCAGAUACCGUCGUAGUCUUAACCAUAAACUAUGCCGACUAGGGAUCGGACAAUGUUCAAUAAUGACUUGUUCGGCACCUUAUGAGAAAUCAAAGUUUUUAGGUUCC
rnacentral:rRNA from 1 species